rnacentral:rRNA from 1 species
UACGAAGGGGGCUAGCGUUGUUCGGAGUUACUGGGCGUAAAGGGCGCGUAGGCGGCGCAUCAAGUCAGGCGUGAAAGCCCUGGGCUCAACCCGGGAAUUGCGCUUGAGACUGGUGUGCUUGAGUACGGGAGAGGAUAGUGGAAUUCCCAGUGUAGAGGUGAAAUUCGUAGAUAUUGGGAAGAACACCGGUGGCGAAAGCGGCUAUCUGGACCGUAACUGACGCUGAGGCGCGAAAGCGUGGGGAGCAAACAGG